CAGCACAGGGUAGCAAUACUUGGGUGGCGACCGGCGCACGGGUGAGUAACGCGUAUGCAACUUACCUAUCAGAGGGGGAUAGCCCGGCGAAAGUCGGAUUAAUACCCCAUGAAACAGGGGUCCCGCAUGGGAAUAUUUGUUAAAGAUUCAUCGCUGAUAGAUAGGCAUGCGUUCCAUUAGGCAGUUGGCGGGGUAACGGCCCACCAAACCGACGAUGGAUAGGGGUUCUGAGAGGAAGGUCCCCCACAUUGGUACUGAGACACGGACCAAACUCCUACGGGAGGCAGCAGUGUGGAAUAUUGGUCAAUGGCCGAGAGGCUGAACCAGCCAAGUCGCGUGAAGGAAGAAGGAUCUAUGGUUUGUAAACUUCUUUUAUAGGGGAAUAAAGUGGAGGACGUGUCCUUUUUUGUAUGUACCCUAUGAAUAAGCAUCGGCUAACUCCGUGCCAGCAGCCGCGGUAAUACGGAGGAUGCGAGCGUUAUCCGGAUUUAUUGGGUUUAAAGGGUGCGUAGGUGGUGAUUUAAGUCAGCGGUGAAAGUUUGUGGCUCAACCAUAAAAUUGCCGUUGAAACUGGGUUACUUGAGUGUGUUUGAGGUAGGCGGAAUGCGUGGUGUAGCGGUGAAAUGCAUAGAUAUCACGCAGAACUCCGAUUGCGAAGGCAGCUUACUAAACCAUAACUGACACUGAAGCACGAAAGCGUGGGGAUCAAACAGGAUUAGAUACCCUGGUAGUCCACGC
rnacentral:rRNA from 1 species